CAGUAGCGUAUAUUAAAGUUGUUGCGGUUAGAAGGCUCGUAGUUGGAUAUUUAUUUAAGAUUGCCGUUGCGCGGUGAGAAUAGCAUAACUUCACUUUGAGGAAAUUAGAGUGCUUCAAGCAAGUUAACGCUUUGAAUAUUUUAGCAUGGAAUAAUAACUUAAGACUUUGGUUAUAUCUUGGUGAUUCUAAAACCAAAGUAAUGUAUAAUAGAGGUAGUUGGGGGCAUUCGUAUUUAACUGUCAGAGGUGAAAUUCUUGGAUUUGUUAAAGACGAGCAACUGCGAAANCANNNGCCAUGGAUGCGCUCUUNGA
rnacentral:rRNA from 1 species